UACAGAGGGGGCAAGCGUUGUUCGGAAUUACUGGGCGUAAAGGGCGCGUAGGCGGCCUGUUAAGUCGAACGUGAAAUCCCCAGGCUCAACCUGGGAACUGCGUCCGAUACUGGCAGGCUUGAAUCCGGGAGAGGGAUGCGGAAUUCCAGGUGUAGCGGUGAAAUGCGUAGAUAUCAGGAAGAACACCCGUGGCGAAGGCGGCUCUCUGGGACGGUACUGACGCUGAGACGCGAAAGCGUGGGGAGCAAACAGG
rnacentral:rRNA from 1 species